UCCAGAUGUAGCCCUUGUGAGGAAAGACGUUGCUGACGUAGCGCAGGUUCCCUUUCUUCACGUCCUGCUUCAGCGGAUUCAGAGCAUCUUUGGUCGCGAUCUGGAGGAACAAGGCUUCACCGCUUCAGACAUAUAGUCCUGGAUGCUGAGCGACGGCUUUCUCGGGCUGAUAAAUCAGAGUCAGAAAUGUUUGUUGACUGAAGGAGGAGCUCGAGGAGCCUGGAAAUGAAUCUGGAGCAGAUCUCGGCGUGCAUACAAAAUCAUUCGAGCGAGAAGAAGUGUGGCCUGAAAGAAGCAGAACAGAACCUCGACGACGGCGUGGAAGAUGUUCUGAAGGAGGAAACAGAACCGGUCAGAAGAAGAUGAGGAUGAUGAAGAUGAUGAUGAAGAUGAUCUUGGUAUUCCAUAUCAUUUAUUUACAAACCAUAACGACUUUGGAAAGUAAGCUACAGUCCUUAAAUGUGAAGAGACCAAACAGCAGAUUUAUCAGUUAACCUGAAUUUCAACCCGAUUCACGAAAACGCAAACAACUCCGGAUCUGAAUCAAAGGAUUCGUUUUGUGCGCUUCGAAACAGUGAGUCGUUUUGGGAUGCAAUUGUUUAUCUAAUUAAAAAAUAAAUAAAUAAUCACAAGCAAUGUCGAAGUCGAAAAUUAAAACUUUUUGAAUUAUUUUAUUUAACUCGUGAAUUGCUUGAAGUCACGAGUCCGAAUCAAUCUGAGCGGUUUUCAGCGUAAAUGACUCAAUUGACUCGAUCGGUCGGUUCCCCUGCUUUUCGCGUCUUCGGUCAUGUUUAGCUUUGCUCGCUAGUUUUAUGACAUGAACUGAAACAAAAAUACAAAUAAAAUAUAUAUUUACAUUCCCAAGUUAACACCCAGCACGAAUCUCCUGAAACACAGCUCAAAAUAAACAGUGUGCAUUAUGAUUAGCUUUUAGCUUCAUUCAGUAUCUUCAGUUCAAUUAGAAAUCAUCAGAAAGCAAUUAAUGCACGUCAUAUGUGCAUGUAUGCUAUUAAAUUAGCAUGAUACAUAACUAGUUUGCACUUGAGAUAUAUAUGUAUAUGUGUAUAUGUGUGUAAUAAGGGGAUGGAAACAAUAUUUAAAAUGAAAUAGACUUUCUUCUGCUUUUGGUGUUUAUCAUAACUUUAGCAUUAUUUUGCCGUGUAUUGAACGCUCAUUUUAAUGCAUGCUUUGAAGCAGUCUGUCCUGUAGAUGUAUGCAGGCUUCUACAUGUUUGUUUGCUUUGACAAAAUCAGUUUGCACGGCACGUAUGAAAUGUACUUUCAUGUGCAAAAUAUGUUUCUCUCAGUCCUUAACACGAUGUAAACAGUUUAAGGAGGUCACUGUUUGUCUUUCUGUUCGUGUUCCUGCGUGAGAAUUCAUCCAGCCGUGCUGUGUUUGUGAACAGAGGAAUCUAAUCCCAUAAUUCAUCUGACAUAUUAAUCUUAUUAUGAACUCCAGGAUGAUUAUCAUGAGAGAAAGCAUCUAAUUAGAUCCAGUUCACACAAACACACACACGAGGAGGAAUAUUUAAUAUAACAGAUUUUAAGCAGAAAAGUGUGUGUAUAUA